GGUGCAGAGGUUCAGUUAUAUUAUGUUCAUUUGGACAAGAAUGAACAAGGAGACUAACAUUAAAAGUGAUCAUCGAAAAGUUUUUGCUGUUUAUCUCAUUCUGACAGUGCAUUCAUGCAUUCACAGCAACAACCUAAACUGAAAUCCAGAAUAACGCUUUAAUAACAAACUGUAAUAAUAAUAAAAGAAUAACUUUAUUUUAUACUACUGUUUGUCAUCAUAUUAAUAGAAAAAAAUGAUGUGGGGGUUUCCUGUCCUUGACGGCUACUCUGUGGUUAAGGAACAUACCACCAUAGGAGAAUGACAACAUUCAUUCAAGCUUCUAGGUGGGCUAGAAAUAUGCACGUAACACAACUGUGCAACAUUAGCGUGCACUCGAGCAUCGCGCAUUGCGCUACUCAUCGGGCCUUGAAGCAGAUGGGCAGUGGCAGCAGAUGACCAUGUUGAAAAGAGACAUUGUGUGCAUGUGGUGACUCAUUACCACCCGAUGACUGACUAGAAACAUGUUGCUUCGGCACUAAAUGCUGACACAGUGAAAAAUAAAUAAAUAAAUAGCAUCCUGACACACUUUAACUCCUUCGUAUAAACAGCUAGAUGCUUUCCGCCGGGUAAUGUGCCAUGUCAUGAAGCAGAUACUGUGCCAUGUUAUUUUGAUGUGACUGGAGCCUCCAGAAAAAGUCUUGUACACUUCCCAGACCUAAUCCAAUAAAGCUCCACUGGAAUGAUGUCGAGCAGGAUGUUUGCAGCGCAAUGUGCCAAUGAAAACACUACAGGAAAUGCUGUUUAGUCAGCAGGAACAAGAUUCUUGUGGAACAUUUCCAGAAUGUUAUUAAAACCCUGCUUCAUAAAUCUGAAGCUGUUCUGGGGUUGUGCUAUCUCUUUUUAUUCAGGAUAAAAGUUAAGCCUCUUAUUAAAUUUAUCUACAUACAUACAUCUAACUUGUGGUUGUGGGAUUUUCUCGUAACUGUUUUUGUUGGCGUGACAGUUAAUGUGACUUUAUUGGGUAAACUGUUGUGUGAUGUAAUUAGACUACUAGACCUGAAACAAUUAACCUUUUCCAGUCCCUGACAGUUGCCACAUGAUUUUGGUGAGAUUGUUGAUAUUUUCCUGCUUAACUUUGAAACUUGUGUCAUUUCUAAAUGGAGCGCAGUGAAGACUAAAUAAAUUGUGAAUUCACGUUCAAAGGUGGACAUAAAUACUUGCGUUUGUUUCCAUCACUUUACGACAGUAGUUAGCGAAAGUCGCUACACCUGUGACUUCGUCUCCAUAGCAACGGCGGCCGAGACUCGUCGACGGUUUGUUCAGUCUCAAAAAACGAAUUAAAUAAAAAAAAAAUAUAUAUAUAAACGAGUUUAAGACAUUGAAUUAUCCGAGAAACAAGCGUCUGUCUAUAUUCAGGAAUUAUAUCAUCAAAAUAAAUAUUUAAAAUUGAAAUUUCGGAAUUGCAACUUUUUUUUUUUUUUUUUUUUUUUAGCAUUAACCAAGUAGGCUACUUAAGAAACGUGCACUGCCAUGGCUGUCGUUAAUGUAGCACGAAGCUCACCUGCCACUCGGUACGUGGCUUUAUAGGGAGCCACUUUAUAACUUAAUUCCUACAGGUUGUUUAUCGCUGAGAUGCUACUGAUCACUACGUCCUCACUUCAUCAAGCUAAGGGCAGGACCACAGAUGCAGCCCAGGACACUAAAGUCAUCUCUGACGUUCCCGAGGAGUUGAAGAUGAGACUGGACCUGAAGACAAACUCCACUGAGGCACAAGUCCCGCAGACCAGAUACCAUGUGUCCCACGGCUCCAGGUGGGUUGCUUCAGAACUGCUGAGUGGCUUUGUACCCUCUGUCUGCAGGAAUUACGGCCCUUCGCCCGUGUAUUUUUAACCAGAGGAACGUGAAAAGGUGCCUCCAAAUCACCCAGCGCCGUUAAUCAC